AACACACCCCUCCCCCAGGGAGCUGAGGAGGAGAUAAAGGGACACCCAGAGAGCAGUGCCAGCCUGAGGCCAGGGACUUUGGAAAGUGUCCACCAUGGCCUGGACUCCUGUCCUCCUGCUCCCCCUCCUCACCCUCUGCCCAGGGUCCAGGUCUCAGGCUGUGGUGACUCAGGAGCCCUCCCUGACUGUGUCCCCAGGAGGGACAGUCACUCUCACCUGUGCCUCGAGCAGUGGAGCUGUCACCAGCAGUAACUAUCCAUACUGGAUCCAGCAGAAGUCUGGCCAAGUCCCCGUGACACUGAUCUAUCAUACAAACAGUAAACUCUCCUGGACCCCUGCCCGGUUCUCAGGCUCCCUCCUCGGGGGCAAAGCUGCCCUGACCCUGUCCGGGGCCCAGCCUGAGGAUGAGGCCGAGUACUACUGUGUUCUGUGGUACAGUGGCCAUCACCACAGUGACACAUGCAGGGGGGAAGUGAGACAAAAACCCAGGGCUCAGUGCACCCUCUGAUUCUGCCAUCCCCCG